UGCCAGCAGCCGCGGUAAUACAUAAGUCCCAAGCGUUACCCGGAAUUAUUGGGUGUAAAGGGUCCGUAGGCGGGCCUACAAGUCAGGUAUGAAAGACCAGAGCUCAACUCUGUGUUUGUGCUUGAAACUGUAGGCCUAGAAUCAGGGAGAGGUUAGCGGAAUUCUUAGUGUAGGGGUGCAAUCCGUAGAUACUAAGAAGAACACCAAAAGCGAAGGCAGCUAACUGGAACUCGAUUGACGCUGAGGGACGAAAGCGUGGGGAGCGAAGAGGAUUAGAUA
rnacentral:rRNA from 1 species